GGGUUUGAUCAUGGCUCAGAUUGAACGCUGGCGGCAGGCUUAACACAUGCAAGUCGAGCGGAGUGAUGGUGCUUGCACUAUCACUUAGCGGCGGACGGGUGAGUAAUGCUUAGGAAUCUGCCUAUUAGUGGGGGACAACAUUUCGAAAGGAAUGCUAAUACCGCAUACGUCCUACGGGAGAAAGCAGGGGAUCUUCGGACCUUGCGCUAAUAGAUGAGCCUAAGUCGGAUUAGCUAGUUGGUGGGGUAAAGGCCUACCAAGGCGACGAUCUGUAGCGGGUCUGAGAGGAUGAUCCGCCACACUGGGACUGAGACACGGCCCAGACUCCUACGGGAGGCAGCAGUGGGGAAUAUUGGACAAUGGGCGCAAGCCUGAUCCAGCCAUGCCGCGUGUGUGAAGAAGGCCUUAUGGUUGUAAAGCACUUUAAGCGAGGAGGAGGCUACUGAAGUUAAUACCUUCAGAUAGUGGACGUUACUCGCAGAAUAAGCACCGGCUAACUCUGUGCCAGCAGCCGCGGUAAUACAGAGGGUGCAAGCGUUAAUCGGAUUUACUGGGCGUAAAGCGCGCGUAGGCGGCUAAUUAAGUCAAAUGUGAAAUCCCCGAGCUUAACUUGGGAAUUGCAUUCGAUACUGGUUAGCUAGAGUGUGGGAGAGGAUGGUAGAAUUCCAGGUGUAGCGGUGAAAUGCGUAGAGAUCUGGAGGAAUACCGAUGGCGAA
rnacentral:rRNA from 1 species